rnacentral:rRNA from 1 species
GACAGAGGUGCCGAGCGUUAGGCGGAAUCACUGGGUUUAAAGGGUGCGUAGGUGGGUUUGUAAGUCAGCGGUGAAAUCUCCGAGCUUAACUCGGAAACUGCCAUUGAUACUAUAGAUCUUGAAUUUUCUGGAGGUAAGCGGAAUAUGUCAUGUAGCGGUGAAAUGCUUAGAUAUGACAUAGAACACCAAUUGCGAAGGCAGCUUGCUACAGGAAUAUUGACACUGAGGCACGAAAGCGUGGGGAUCAAACAGG